AGCAGCCGCGGUAAUUCCAGCUCCAAUAGCGUAUAUUAAAGUUGCUGCAGUUAAAAAGCCCGUAGUUGAAUUUCGGGAUCAAUAUGUUGGUCGUGCCUCGGUACGUACUAGCUUAUUGGUUUCUUCCUUCUGACGAACCAUAAUGUCAUUUAUUUGGUGUUAUGGGGAAUCAGGACUGUUACUUUGAAAAAUUAGAGUGUUUAAAGCAGGCUCACGCUUGAAUACAUUAGCAUGGAAUAAUGAAAUAGGACGUUUGAUUCUAUUUUGUUGGUUUCUAGGAUCGACGUAAUGAUUAAUAGGGAUAGUUGGGGGCAUUAGUAUUCAAUUGUCAGAGGUGAAAUUCUUGGAUUUAUUGAAGACUAACUACUGCGAAAGCAUUUGCCAAGGAUGUUUUCAUUAAUCAAGAACGAAAGUUAGGGGAUCGAAGACGAUCAGAUACCGUCGUAGUCUUAACCAUAAACUAUGCCGACUAGGGAUCGGAUGAUGUUAAUUUUUAAUGACUCAUUCGGCGCCUUAAC
rnacentral:rRNA from 1 species